rnacentral:lncRNA from 1 species
CUUGGCUGCAAUUACAGUAAUUAUUCUUAUCUUAAUUUUCCUGGCACCCAUACACAACUACUACUUACAUUAAUUCUUGUUUUAAUGGUUCUUCUACUUUUAUUGUUUUAAGCCAAAUCAAAUCUAUUUGGGGUAUAGUGAAGUAUAAAUAAUGGAUAAAACUUGCCUUACUUUCUUCUGUUGUCUUAUGAAACUUGAUGAAGAGUUCUUUUUUGAACAAGGGUAUUUUUACAUCAGAAAGCAAAAGCAUAAACAUUAUCUAGGUAUCUGGGUUUGGACGGGGUUGCACGGCUGUGGCAGAGAGAAAUAUUUCAGACUAGCUUACUGGCAGACUGAUUUUCUGAAACAGCUUUGGAAACUUAAACCACCUUUCCAGUUAUUGAACCCUAUAGCUCCACCUGUAGUAGAGAAAUGCUUACCAUUAACUUUACCUAAAGGUGACCUGGGUUUAGUAACACCCCAGCUGUAAAGGAAGAAACAGAAAUAGCACACCCCAAAUUUUCCCCAAGCCUUUUCACUGGCAUCCCUCCAACCAAGGACAGACCCUGGAAAACAACGGUGGCUUGGGGAGGGCUCCGACCCUCAGAUCCCACCAGCGCUCCUAAUCACCUUCACUGAUGCCUUCCCCACCUGCAUCCUGUCUGCAAAGCAAACCUCAAGAAGUCGGUAAAGGACAUGGAACCCCUCAGGUACUGCAUUAACUAAACCAUUUCCUCAAAGUCUGAGAAACCCAUUCUAAAGUUUCAACCCAGGAAUGUUAAUAGCAAGGGAUUGCAAAAGACAUCUGACUAACUUUAUUUUUUAAACUAAGUACAAACAAAUCCUGAGUCCACACAAUCUUUUACGAGAACAUUCUUUCUGAUGGGUGAUUGGAGAGCCAACUUGGAUGAGCACUCCCUUCUUUUAGAAAACCUCACAUACGAACAUCCGCAACAUUUGGAAACUUUAGGAAAAUUUCGGAUGGUUACUUGUAUCACAGAAAGCAGUUUUGCGGUAUCAGGGGAUUUCUUGAAGUAUUCCUUUCAGGGGCUACUUCCCAGUCCCAAAUCCAAGACGGAUUCACUUAAAAACAAACUUAACUUUCAGGACAUGUGUUACAUCAAGUGCAAACAAACUGAGAAGCGAUCUUUUCGAUUCACCCAAUAGAGCCAAAUAUUAGCACUGGAGGACUCCUGUUGUAGAGAGGAUAUUUCUUCAUAACUUCUCUUUUGCUUUGUUUUCCAAUGCCCCUUGGUCUGCUUCCUGUUUUUUUACUGUGUGUGAGCAGUCUGGCGAGGCUCAUUUGCCAAAUGAAAUCUUAUAUGAAACUGCAAUAUUUACAGAAGAGAAAACUCCACAAAACUCCAGGGUUCUGGGGAACAUAGCUGGAAAACCACACCUCCAGUUCAUUCUCCGGUUCACUGCCACGUCUCUAAAAGUCAUAAGUCUGUACCUACCACUACUUGUCAUAUUUUCUGAAAUGCACUGAAGAGGCGGCACUACAGCUUCUACAAAUACAGCAAAUCAGACCCCUUCUAUCAGUCAGGGUUCACUUGCAGAGAAUUGAACCGAUUCUGGCUGCUUUAAGCAAAACACGGGAGUUCCCUUGUGGCACAGUGGGUUAAGGAUCCAGCAUUGUCACUGUGGUGGCUGGGUCACUGCUGUGGUAAGGGUUGGGUCCCUGGCCUGGGAACGUCCACAUGCCACGAGUGUGGCCAAAAAAAGAAAGAUUUAUUAAAUGGCUUCUAGACCACACCUGUGCCCUAAGUAGUAGGAAAAUAGAUGCCUUGCACCUGACUUUCAACCCUUUCAAGCAAAUGAUGUUGAAGAAAACCCAGAGCCUCCACAAAUGCUUUGGUCCCUACUUGUGGAACCCAGUGCAUCUGAUAUUCCAGAAGGAGCCUGCUUCCCAGACUCUAACGUAAAAGGAGGCACAUAAAAGGGAGACCCGAGUGGACCAUGUUGGCCAGUCCUCAUAGCUUCUGACCUCUGUCUGCUGAGUUCCCAAGCUACAGACAAUUCUCUGGCCUUUCCUUCGAUUGCACCUUAAAAAGGUGGGGAAUGUGCUCCGAAGCUACUGACCUGCGAUCAAACUCUCUUCCAGUAAAUUUUAGUUUUUAUAAUAUAACAUUUCAAUCACUACUGGCACUUAGGAGAACAAAUUCCAUAAGUGCAUCACUUACUCUACAGAGCCAUAUACAUCUUUCCAUUUGUCUGAAGUUCACUUCUUUUUUUUUUUAACAAUCCAAGGGAUAGUUCUUCUUGCUCAAACAAUCUAAUCCGAAGCUCAAAGUCUCUGCCCAUGAACUUUCUCAGUUUUCUGCUUCAUUUUUUAUUCUUUUUUGGCAGCCCAGGGGCACAUGGAGUUCCCUAGCCAGGGAUCAGAUCCAAGCUGCAGUU